rnacentral:siRNA from 1 species
CGAGGUGAAUAUGAGCGCUGA